ACUUAAAUAGUUUAAAUAAAAUGUUGAUUUGUGGUGUCAAUGAUAUGAUAUAUUCAUUUUAGGUU
rnacentral:tRNA from 1 species